GGGACGAGGAGAGGAUCCAGGAGGAGGAGUUGCAGAGAUCUAUUAAUGAGAUGAAGCGGUUGGAAGAAAUGUCAAAUAUGUUUCAGAGCUCUGGAGUCCAGCACCACCCUCCAGAACCAAAAGCCCAAACAGAAGGGAAUGAAGAUUCAGAGGGCAAAGAGCAACCUUGGGAAAUGGUGAUGGAUAAGAAACACUUUAAGCUGUGGCGGCGCCCAAUUACAGGCACCCACCUUUACCAGUACCGAGGUGAGCCCAGUGUGGCUAUCUUUUUGGUUCCAUAGUUGCACAGGUGCAUGGGAUUUCUGUUCUUCAUACUUCUCUAAACUGUUCUGGUUGUUUCUCAGAAAAUUUGCCGUAGUUUUUUGUUUAUUGUUUUUCUUCUCC
rnacentral:sRNA from 1 species